UCUUUAAUGGAGAGUUUGAUCCUGGCUCAGGACGAACGCUGGCGGCGUGCCUAAUACAUGCAAGUCGAGCGGGGUUAAUUA
rnacentral:rRNA from 1 species